rnacentral:rRNA from 1 species
AGAGUUUGAUUAUGGCUCAGGACGAACGCUGGCGGCGUGCUAACACAUGCAAGUCGAGCGGGAACCUCAGGAGGGGUAACCCUUCUGAGGGGAGAGCGGCGAACGGGUGAGUAACACGUGGGCAACCUGCCCCGGACACCGGGAUAACCCAGGGAAACUGAGCUAAUACCGGAUACUCCGGCGCGAUCGCAUGGUCGUGCCGGGAAAGCUCCGACGGUCCGGGAUGGGCCCGCGGCCUAUCAGCUUGUUGGUGGGGUAACGGCCCACCAAGGCGACGACGGGUAGCUGGUCUGAGAGGACGGCCAGCCACACUGGGACUGAGACACGGCCCAGACUCCUACGGGAGGCAGCAGUGGGGGAUCUUGCGCUAAUGCGCGAAAGCGUGACGCAGCGACGCCGCGUGGGGGAUGAAGGCCCUCGGGUUGUAAACCCCUUUCGGCAGGGACGAAGGGAAACUGACGGUACCUGCAGAAGAAGUCCCGGCUAACUACGUGCCAGCAGCCGCGGUAACACGUAGGGGACGAGCGUUGUCCGGAUUCAUUGGGCGUAAAGCGCGCGUAGGCGGCUCGGAAAGUCGGUCGUGAAAUGCCGGGGCUCAACCCCGGGACUGCGUCCGAUACUUCCGGGCUGGAGGUAGGUAGGGGAGAUCGGAAUUCCUGGUGUAGCGGUGAAAUGCGCAGAUAUCAGGAGGAACACCGGUGGCGAAGGCGGAUCUCUGGGCCUUACCUGACGCUGAGGCGCGAAAGCUAGGGGAGCGAACAGGAUUAGAUACCCUGGUAGUCCUAGCCGUAAACGUUGGGCGCUAGGUGUGGGCGGACAUCGACCCCGUCCGUGCCGAAGCUAACGCAUUAAGCACCCCGCCUGGGGAGUACGGCCGCAAGGCUAAAACUCAAAUGAAUUGACGGGG